UACGAAGGGGCUAGCGUUGCUCGGAAUCACUGGGCGUAAAGCGCACGUAGGCGGGUCGUUAAGUCGGGGGUGAAAUCCUGGAGCUCAACUCCAGAACUGCCUUCGAUACUGGCGACCUUGAGUCCGGGAGAGGUGAGUGGAACUCCGAGUGUAGAGGUGAAAUUCGUAGAUAUUCGGAAGAACACCAGUGGCGAAGGCGGCUCACUGGCCCGGUACUGACGCUGAGGUGCGAAAGCGUGGGGAGCAAACAGG
rnacentral:rRNA from 1 species